UACGGGGGGAGCAAACGUUGUUCGGAAUCACUGGGCGUAAAGGGCGCGUAGGCGGCUAGGUAAGUGGGGUGUUAAAUCUCCCGGCUCAACCGGGAACCUGCACCUCAUACUGCUUAGCUUGAGUACAGCAGAGGAGACUGGAAUUCCCGGUGUAGCGGUGAAAUGCGUAGAUAUCAGGAGGAACACCGGUGGUGUAGACGGCUCUCUGGACCGUAACUGACGCUGAGACACGAAAGCGUGGGUAGCAAACAGG
rnacentral:rRNA from 1 species